ensembl:lncRNA
AUCUAUAUUAAUAGAUAAUAAGAAUGAAAUAGCCCUUCAAUCAAAAUUUUUCCAGCUCUGUUUGAGGGAUAUAACUAAUCCCUAAAUAUUUGUUUGUUUGUUCGUUUGUUUAUUCAUGCAUUCAUGCAUGUAUGCAUGCAUGCAUGCAUUUAUGCAUUUGCUUUGCUUUGUAUGCCAAAACUGCCUAAACACAACUCUUUCGUGGAAAAAUGUUUACCCAUGAAAGAGACAGCAAACUGGAUCACAUAUGUAAGGCUUACAAAAAUGGCUUUAAAGUUCCCUUUUUAGAGCUCUGUUAUGGUUUUGCAUCAGCGGAGGGAACAAAUUCCAAACCAGCUACCGCCAGGCUUCCUCAUGCUUUGGACGCACCAGUUUUGAGGUUUCUUUCGGGAGUUCAAUGACUGUAUUUCUCCUCUUCGUUUUCCCAGGCCAACACCCCAGAAGGAGAGAGAAAGAGAGAGACAGAGAGAGGACAGGGAGAGAAACACACCACCGUCCCCUCUAGCAGCCUGAGAGGGAGGAUGAGGACCCAUGUUAAGCAUCACUCUCCAACGUGACCUCCCGGCUGAGUCCCGCCCACAUUGAAUGACCACAGGAGCGAAGUUCACAGCCUCUGCUUCAUGGGCUUUCUGUUUUUGCUGCUGUGGGCCACGUCCUUCUCUGGCGUGGCAAAGCAAGGCAGGUGAGAGGAGGAAGAAGAAGAGGAAGAAGAAGAAGGACAGGAAGAAGGCGGUGGUCUCACUCUCUGCCAUCCGAACGACCGGGCUGUGCCAAUGCAGGAGUGCCAGGAGAAGAAAGUCAUUUCCCCUGCAAAUCAAGCGACAACGGUGGGAAAGGACAUGUUCCUGCCAGGAUCUAACCAUCUCCAGCGCCUGGGGCAUCUGACUCCUCUGGGGGCGCAGAACCUACAAGACUGCAUUAAAGCGCCAGAUGUGAGAUGAGGAAAGCUGGAGGGGCACCCCUUCUAUCCCAGGCUAUUUUGGAAAGUUUCCUGUAUGGCGGAUCAAGCGGAGAGAUGUCACUGCUGUCCUUUCAGGCUGGAGACUGGGAUUUGAACCCUGGUCUCCUGAGCUCUCAGCCACCGGUCAGUCAACUCUGCCACCUUCUCUCCACUGUGACCCCCCCCCCAGGGGCCAAGUCGGGUUACAAAAAACUGCAAAGCUGGAAGGCCUUCCCAGGGAUCAUCCUUGCAGAGGGAGGCCAUCCACAGCCAUCCCUAGUGGAGGGCCCCCCAACCUGCGUGUGGGGAGGCCCCCCACGGAGCAACCUCUCCACCUGGACACUCAUUGGGGUCAGGUCCAUGUCGUCGGGAGGCAGGCGUGCAAUCCCAAGAUGCCAACAGCUCCCUUUUAUUCCUGGGGGGGGGGGGAAGGAACAGGAUGUCAGUGUGUGGACAUCCUGCCUCCAUCAGCCUCCACACUUUGGGACCCACGGAGGCCCCUUGUCCUUCCCCCACCACCUCCAAUUGUGCCUUUACCUGCUAUCGUAUUAUUAGCUGAUGGGCGUCUCCAUUAUACACCUGUGUCCCAUUUUAAAAAAAAUACAUAAAAAUAAAAAAUCAACAUGACUCCUUGGGGCGGCUUCA